rnacentral:miRNA from 1 species
UCCAUACCACUGCUAGAGACU